AUGGAAAGCUGUUUCCUUCUCCAAUGAAGAUAAUUUUGCUGGAGACAAAACAGAGGAAACUGUGAGCGCCUACGAACUUGUAGAGCAGCCAGACUACUCCUUUUGUUUUGGUGAUAUUGUGUUUGCGGCUCAAAUGAUAGUAGCUGUCUCACGGCUUGCUCAGACUCAAAAUCAAUCAUCCCCAUUCAGAGUUCGGAGUUUGAGCUUCAAUGGCGACGAAGAAGCAGAACGAUGAUAACACCAAGAAGGCGGGCUUUACGCACUAGUGCCCCCUAGUCCCCAACUUUCGUUCUCACCGUAGAAGAAGCCGUACGCUCGCCAUCGUUCUCACCCUCAAGCAGACGACUCGCUUUCGCCCUUCCCUCAACUCCCCUUUUCUAGCAAAACAGUUCUGGAACUGCCCUCCUGAGGUUUUUUAAGAUAACUUAUUUUUCAUGAAUUUGAUUUGCCUGAAUUAUGAUACCGUUCUGAAUUUAUUUGUUAUUGAUUUGAUAUUGUUUGGAAAUUUUGUUAUUGAUUUGAUAUUGUUCUGAAAAUUUUCAUGAUUUUUUGUUUCUUCAAUCUGAUAUAGUUCUAAAAUCUGAGAUAGUGAGCGUGGUCAGAGAAAUUCUUACCUAUACCGAGAGCAAAUCUCUCUCAUGCUCUAAGCCAAUCUGUUAACCAUAACUCACAGAGCCGUCAGCCAAUGUUAACCUUGUAUUAGUUAGAUAGUUUCAAGGGUUGGCUUCAUGUUAAACUGAUUCAUGAAAUACUUACUUAAUUUCUUGUGUAAGAUAAUGGCAAGUCAGUGACUGACCUGAAGGCGGAGGCUUCUCUUGAGGAUGGUAACCAAGUUCAUUGUGUAGGUGAGUUCCCUGAUAAUCCUUUCCUGUGCUGUGUUGGGAAUGUUUCUGGUCUCGAAGAUGGUAACAUGGAGGUGAAUUGGGCUAAUGGUUUCACAACCAAGGUUGCACCUUAUGAAGUUUUUCGAAUUGAAAAACAUGAAGGUUCAUAUGUUAUCUCCUUUCCUCAUGAAACUAAUGUUGAUGAGUUACCUCAAGAGAUGAUUGAACACAGAAGUCUACCCUCUGACAAGAAGGGAACGGUGUGUAAUAUGCAUUUCCUUGAAUAUUAGUAGCUGCUGUUGACUGAAUUAUUUAGGUGACACUAAGACACUGGUGGGUGCUGAUAUUUCGGAUGCUUGUUAGACAAAUUCAAGCAAGAGAAAAAAUUAGUGAUGAUGUUCGAUCUGAUUCAGAAGAUGAAGAUAGCCAUGAAGAUUGAGAUGGAAAGCAAGACCAUAAUGUAAUCUUAAGGCAUAGGUGAAUUUUGAAUGGUGGCAACUGACAAGUAGUUUCACACUUUGGAGUUCUACAAAUAUAGUCACAUUUUUAUGUGGAAUCAUGUUUAAUAUAGUAGUUAAUUCUAUAACAUUUAAAAGCUUUAGAAGGGUAUUCCACAAGUAAAAUGGCUUGAGCCACUGACACUCAUCAAGCCAUUGCCUCUCUCAUGAUGUAUGUUUUGAACAUUGUGUUUCUCUGAGGCAAGAUGGAAUUCAAAAUGUCCAUUCUGUUAGGUUUCAAUAUAAAUAGAUAUGGAAAUUAUAGGCAUCUGUAUUAGUUUUAUUUAAUCUUGUGUGUGUUUUCCUUAAACUGAGGUAGAUGUUGCCUGGUUUCUUUCUUGCA